rnacentral:rRNA from 1 species
CCGAGGAGUCCUGGCCGUUCGCGAGUCGUAGGGGCCCCCUCUGACUAACCCCGAAGGCGUAGCGAAAGCGAGAGAGCGUGUUGGAGGGCGUCGACCGGGAGAGGUGUCGUGGCGAAGUCGUGCAGGGGUCGUCGGGGGAAAAGCGGCUUCGGUCGUUUCUUUUCUCGCCUCACCUGCCCUCCGAGCCGUGCCCGAUCCCGCCGGCGCGGUGUCUUGUCUUCUGCGUCGCCCUCUCGUCGCGCAUGUUGCCCGGCAACGGGCGACGACGCGCGGCGACGACGUGCGUGGUUGUUUCCCUCCUGCCCGAGAGGGCAUCGGUUCCAUGGGAAUUGCGGGGCAUCAGCUUCUAUCCUCCUACCGCCCAUCGGUGAGAUCCCGCGGCUUGAACUAGUCCUAUUUUGUCGUCGAGUUUAGGCACUGCACGCGGGCGCAUCACCCCCGGGUCGGCGGUGAAAACCAUUCCGAGUACGACUCGGCCGACUCUGGCGUAGCGAGCGGCCAGGGACCCGAAAGAUGGCGAUCCACGCCCGGUCGGGAUGAAGCCAGAGGAAACUCUGGUGGAAGUCCGAAGCGCCUCUGACGUGCAAAUCGAUCGUCGGAACCGGGUGUAGGGGCGAAAGACCAAUCGAGCCGUCUA